CCCUUAGAUGUCCUGGGCUGCACGCGCGCUACACUGGAAGUUACGGAUUGAGAUACUACCUUGUCCGAAAUGGUCCGGGUAAUCACCUAAAAGCUUGUCAUAAUUGGAAUGGAUUAUUGCAACUAGUAAUCCUGAACGAGGAAUUCCUAGUAAGUCCCAGUCAACAGCUGGUACUGAUUACGUCCCUGCCCUUUGUACACACCGCCCGUCGCUACUACUGAUUGGACGUUUAAGCAAGAUUUUUAAACACUGACAGUGUGUAGUUCACGCUAUACUACAGUGAGAAGAAGAAGAUCGAGCUUACUUGUCUAGAGGAAGUAAAAGUCGUAACA
rnacentral:rRNA from 1 species